rnacentral:misc_RNA from 1 species
AAAUCGUAACAAGGUUUCCGUAGGUGAACCUGCAGAAGGAUCAUUAACACGUAUCCAACGUUAAAACCCCCCGUGAACCUUCAUUGUCCUCGUACUCCUUCGAAACCUUUGCAUGAAAACGGGCCUGCCCUUAAUUGUGCGGCCACCAACUCGAACAACUGUUAACAAUGGAUAUCUUGGUUCUC